rnacentral:rRNA from 1 species
UGGGGAAUAUUGCACAAUGGGCGAAAGCCUGAUGCAGCAACGCCGCGUGAGUGAUGAAGGCCUUCGGGUUGUAAAGCUCUGUCUUUUGGGACGAUAAUGACGGUACCAAAGGAGGAAGCCACGGCUAACUACGUGCCAGCAGCCGCGGUAAUACGUAGGUGGCAAGCGUUUGUCCGGAUUUACUGGGCGUAAGGGAUGCGUAGGCGGAUUUUUAAGUGAGAUGUGAAGACCCUAAGCUUAACUUGGGACUGCAUUUCAUACUGGAAAUCUAGAGUGCGGGAGAGGAGAAUGGAAUUCCUAGUGUAGCGGUGAAAUGCGUAGAGAUUAGGAAGAACGCCAGUGGCGAAGGCGAUUCUCUGGACCGUAACUGACGCUGAGGCAUGAAAGCGUGGGUAGCAAACAGGAUUAGAUACCCUGGUAGUCCACGCCGUAAACGAUGAGUACUAGGUGUAGGAGGUAUCGACCCCUUCUGUGCCGCAGUUAACACAAUAAGUACUCCGCCUGGGAAGUACGAUCGCAAGAUUAAAACUCAAAGGAAUUGAC